rnacentral:rRNA from 1 species
GAUGAACGCUAGCGGAAGGCUUAAUACAUGCAAGUCGAGCGGUAGGUGGCUUCGGCCAUUGAGAGCGGCGCACGGGUGAGUAACGCGUACAUGACCUGCCUGUCAGAAGGGGAUAGCCCUGGGAAACUGGGAUUAAUACCCUAUGGUAUUGAUAUUAUGAAUGAUAUCAAUUAAAGUUGAGGCGCUGACAGAUGGAUGUGCGUCUGAUUAGCUAGUUGGUAGGGUAACGGCCUACCAAGGCCACGAUCAGUAGGGGGCGCGAGAGCGUGGUCCCCCACACGGGUACUGAGACACGGACCCGACUCCUACGGGAGGCAGCAGUAAGGAAUAUUGGUCAAUGCCCGCAAGGGUGAACCAGCCAUUCCGCGUGGAGGAUGAAGGCCCUAUGGGUUGUAAACUUCUUUUAGAUGGGAAGAAAAUGCUAGAUGUAUCUGGUACUGACGGUACCAUCAGAAUAAGCACCGGCUAACUACGUGCCAGCAGCCGCGGUAACAC